AAUGUCUAUAUGCUAGUAUGACAUAUUAACGAUUUAAGUCCUUCUUAAAUGAGGCCAUUUACCCAUAGAGGGUGCCAGGCCCGUAUAACGUUAAUGAUUACUAGAAGAUAUUUCCAAAGAGUCGUGUUGCUUGAUAGUGCAGCACUAAGUGGGUGGUAAACUCCAUCUAAAACUAAAUAUAACCAUGAGACCGAUAGCAAACAAGUACCGUGAGGGAAAGUUGAAAAGAACUCUGAAUAGAGAGUUAAAUAGUACGUGAAACUGCUUAGAGGUUAAGCCCGAUGAACCUGAAUAUCCAUUAUGGAAAAUUCAUCAUUAUAAUUGUAAUAUUUUAAAAAUAUUAUGAGAAUAGUGUGCAUUUUUUCCAUAUAAGGACAUUGUAAUCUAUUAACAAAUAAAUAUUUAUCAAAAGAUCAUUUGCUUAAGUUUAUUUGAAUUAACUUGUUUACAGGUUAACAUUGAAUAAAUGCUUAUGAUUUGAUAAAGUGUUGAUAGAUUUAUUAUAUAUAGUGCUUAAAUUAUUUAUAAUUUUACAAUAAUAUUUAAAUCAUGAUUUUUAUAUUUAUUGUAUGCACUUAUAUGAUUAACAAUGCGAAAGAUUCAGGAUACCUUCGGGACCCGUCUUGAAACACGGACCAAGGAGUCUAACAUAUGUGCAAGUAAUUGGGAAUUAAAAACCUAAUUGCGAAAUUAACAUAACUUGUAAAUGGGAUUAAUUUUUAUAGAAAUUUAUUUUUAUAUUAAUUCAAUCCCGGGGCGUUCUAUAUAGUUAUGUAUAAUAAUAUUUAUAUUAUU
rnacentral:rRNA from 1 species